rnacentral:tRNA from 1 species
GCCCCUCUAGCCCAAAUGGUAGUAUGGCAAUGGACUUAAAAUCCACACAGUCUCGGUUCAAAUCCGAGGAGGGGUA